rnacentral:misc_RNA from 1 species
UUUCCGUAGGUGAACCUGCGGAAGGAUCAUUACUGGGUGAGGGCCCUCUGGGUCCAACCUCCCACACGUGUUCAUUGUACCUUAUUGCUUCGGUGCGCCCGCCCCACGGCCGCCGGGGGGCUUCUGCCCCCGGGUCCGCGCGCACCGGAGACACCAUUGAACUCUGUCUGAAGAUUGCAGUCUGAGCAUAAACUAAAUAAGUUAAAACUUUCAACAACGGAUCUCUUGGUUCCG